GGUCUUUUCGCGCCGGUGCAGCGACGUCCUCCCCGAGGACGUGCGGUACGCUCCCGUUCGAGCCGGGUAGCGUCCG
rnacentral:tRNA from 1 species